rnacentral:rRNA from 1 species
ACAGGCUUAACACAUGCAAGUCGAGGGGUAGCAGGGUAGCAAUACCGCUGACGACCGGCGCACGGGUGAGUAACACGUAUCCAACCUUCCCAUAACUCGGGGAUAGCCUUUCGAAAGAAAGAUUAAUACCCGAUAGUACUUUAUUAAGGCAUCUUAAGAAAGUUAAAGAUUUAUUGGUUAUGGAUGGGGAUGCGUUCCAUUAGAUAGUUGGUGAGGUAACGGCUCACCAAGUCUUCGAUGGAUAGGGGUUCUGAGGGGAAGGUCCCCCACAUUGGUACUGAGACACGGACCAAACUCCUACGGGAGGCAGCAGUGAGGAAUAUUGGUCAAUGGGCGAGAGCCUGAACCAGCCAAGUAGCGUGAAGGAUGACGG